rnacentral:tRNA from 1 species
GCCGAGUUAGCUUGGAGGGUGCGCGUCUUGUAAGCGUUAGAUCGCGGGUUCGAUUCCCGCCCGGGGCG